rnacentral:rRNA from 1 species
UAGUCCACGCCGUAAACGAUGAGUGCUAGUUGUUGGGGCUUUUAAGUCUCAGUGACGCAGCUAACGCGCUAAGCACUCCGCCUGGGGAGUACGGCCGCAAGGUUAAAACUCAAAGGAAUUGACGGGGACCCGCACAAGCGGUGGAGCAUGUGGUUUAAUUCGAGGCAACGCGAAGAACCUUACCGGGACUUGACAUCCUGAUCGUGGAUUCCAGAGAUGGUUUCCUUCAGUUUGGCUGGAUCAGUGACAGGUGCUGCAUGGCUGUCGUCAGCUCGUGUCGUGAGAUGUUGGGUUAAGUCCCGCAACGAGCGCAACCCUCAUCCUUGGUUGCUAACAUUUAGUUGAGAACUCCAAGGAAACUGACCUGGGUCAACCAGGAGGAAGGGUGGGGAUGACGUCAAGUCUUCAUGGCCCUUACGUCCUGGGGCUACACACGUGCUACAAUGGUGGUUACAGUGGGCUGCUACACAGUGAUGUGAUGCUAAU